CUGCUGGGCUUUAACUGACGCUGAGGCACGAAAGCGUGGGUAGCAAACAGGAUUAGAUACCCUGGUAGUCCACGCUGUAAACGAUGAUUACUAGGUGUGGGGGGACUGACCCCUUCCGUGCCGGAGUUAACACAAUAAGUAAUCCACCUGGGGAGUACGGCCGCAAGGUUGAAACUCAAAGGAAUUGACGGGGGCCCGCACAAGCAGUGGAGUAUGUGGUUUAAUUCGAAGCAACGCGAAGAACCUUACCAGGUCUUGACAUCCAACUAACGAAGUAGAGAUACAUCAGGUGCCCUUCGGGGAAAGUUGAGACAGGUGGUGCAUGGUUGUCGUCAGCUCGUGUCGUGAGAUGUUGGGUUAAGUCCCGCAACGAGCGCAACCCUUGCUAUUAGUUGCUACGCAAGAGCACUCUAAUAGGACUGCCGUUGACAAAACGGAGGAAGGUGGGGACGACGUCAAAUCAUCAUGCCCCUUAUGACCUGGGCUACACACGUACUACAAUGGCCAUCAACAGAGGGAAGCAAAACAGCGAUGUGGAGCAAACCCCUAAAAAUGGUCUCAGUUCAGAUGCAGGCUGCAACCCGCCUGCAUGAAGUCGGAA
rnacentral:rRNA from 1 species